AACCAGCCAGCAAAAUCUAACAUCCGGACGGUUAACAUUGCUGUCGUUUGUUUUGUUUUUAUUUGUGACAUUUGACGUACUAAUGAAAGUUUAACCGUUGUGUGUCCGACGCGGUACCCGGGUACCUUUUUAAGUUUCAAUUAAUUAAAUUCCUAUGUUUUAUCCAUAGCUGGAAAUUGAAACUUUUUGACAUCUUAGAACUUCACUAAGUCAAGCUUUUGGGUUAAUAAUAUUGUUGAUAUAGUAAGGGUGGGAAAGAGAAGGGGCUCCUGAAUUUUUUUACUACGUAACAGGCCGACGUGGGUACCCGGGUACCCACAAAACUAAAAUGCCCGUAACUAAGGUAAUAUCCAACCGAUUUCGAUACUUUUGGCCGUUUUGGAUUCAGGAAAUCAUCCACUUUUGGACUUCGUAAAAAUGAAUCGGGUUACGUCAUUCGGUUCCCGGGAAUCCGGGUUUCCGGAAGCAGGUUCCAGUGCUGGGGUACUAUUUGCAAACUUCAAUGGAAUACUACAAAUAUGGGUAUCAAAAUUCUUGGAAUUGAAUCAGUAGGCUGUAUCUCGUGGUUUUGGAACCAUUUGGUGAUUUGACCCCGGAACGGACAUUCCGGAGCAGGUUCCCGUGGGGUAGUGAGUGGCCAUUCCAUUCCAAUUCCAUUUUUCAAAUUGCCAUAGGGUCCCGUAACAAUAAAAAACAGACUUCCGAGACAAUUUGAAGAGUUUUGAUAUUCAUAUUGCUAGUACAUUAUUGAAAUUUACAGAUCAUAUUCUAGUACUGGAACAUUACCCCGGAAAUCCGGAUUACCAAAAACCAGAUCCAUUAUUUCGGUUCUAUUGCACAGAAUCAAAAAGUGGACGAGUUCCUGUAUCCAAAAUAUCUAAAAGUGUCCAAAUCGGUCGAAGGAAGUCACAGUUAUGAGCAUUUCAAUUUGUGGGUACCCGGGUACCCUCGUUGGCCUGUUAAAGGUGUUUUUUAUUGGACACAUAACUGUUAAUGUGUCUUCAAAUGCUGUAGAUAAUCGUACACCUGUCAUAAUAAAAUGAAGAAAAAAUUGAUUUAUGGAGAAAGUCGCAGGGGGUCGGUUUUAUUCGUAAUUCCCCUAAAAUUGUCAUAGCUCGGUGGACAUAUGAUUGAUGGCACUCAGAAGAAGUUGAAAUAUGUUAUAUUUCAAGCAAGUGACUGUCUGUUGGUACAGUAUGGUUCGAAAACGCAUUAGGGAGUGAACAAAUGGUUGGCGGCAAUUGCCGCUGGUUCGAGCCUUCUCGUCUCUGUUUUUUAUUGCCGUGCCGGCUCGCUUUUCUUUUUUUUCUAACUGCGAUAUGAAAAUGUAAUUGUCAUAUCGCGAUGUCAUAUUUGAACGAUGCUUUUUGUUAGACAUAUUUGAACGACACGUUUUAGUACAUUAGAUUCAAUGAAAAUUUACAGGUUUUUUUCAAAUUGUUGUAAAAUGACUGAUGCAACUAGCAACAUAAGUGGUCUUAAAGUUCAGAUGUGAUCGUCAUAAACAGCCAGAUUUGAAGGGCAUUAGUUUUGGCUCUCGAUUUUUUUGCUACCUGUAAGCGGAAUGAAUAGUAGUCAUUCGUAACCCAACUUUGUACCGGGAAACAAGUGCUUUUUGUUCUCUCCGGUGUGGUUUAGUUUUUUCGGUGGUACUGUAGCCAGCCCUGGUCGAUCCCUAGCAAGCGUGCAGCUUAUGCGCCACUUCCCGUAGGAAGACUGCACGCCAAGAUUUGUUUGCCCGGAUGAGACUCUUCUUAGGGCGAGUCCCUGAAGAAGCUUCACCUAAAAGAAAUUAAUCAGGAUCGAACCAGACAGGCUUAUCAAAAGUUAGCCUCCAAAAGUCGGGUAGACGACCCUAUUAUCAACUAGCAGCAAUCAUCAGAAAACCUAAUCACCCUCAAAAUAAUUCGCGGUAAGAAACUCCCCAUACCUAAUAUAUCAUCACUGGAACUGCAGCCACUCCUCACCAGGUGGCACAAACACGUUGAAAGCGAAGCUUUCACCACUCAUCAAAUUCCGCCAAGCGGAAGACAGUGAAACGAAACGAAAACUACACCGAACGAAGUGACGUAACCAUACUUAAACGAGACUAAACCUUGAGGGAGUACUAUAGGAAUUUACAAACAUUUUAGUACGUUUACACUAACCAACAUUUAUUUACGCUACAGGACGGAAAGAUUUUCAUUACUAUGCAUGUUUGUAUUUUUGUAUUAACUUUUAAUUUUCUAGGCCUAUCUUCUGAUUGUGUGCGUGUACUCUCUCCCUACUGUGCUCAUUGACCAUACUGUGCUUUUCUCCAUCAAUCCUCAAACUUUCGGUGACGUCACCUCACGGCUCCAGCGUAUCAACGGCAAUCGCUUUGCACCCGGGUGGCUAAUUAGUCAAAGGGUUGUGUGUGGCGUUCUUGAAUGGCGAAACUAAAUGUAAUGGCCGACACACAACCUCACUUCAUGGACGCGUCCCUAAAUCUAGCCGUCCGUGGACGACUUCUCGAGCGUUUGCGCUCUGACGGCUUAAAUCACUGUGGCGUCCUCCUUGGACGCCACCCUUCACACUUAAUUAGCAAGAACGAUACGACUCACCCAAUCUGCUGCUGUUGGUUUCUGCUGCUGUCGAUCGUUCUGCUGCGAUGGCUGUUUCGAUGACGGGCGAUUCGAUGACGGGCGAUUACAUCGAUCGGCCGCGCCGGUUUCUGACCAGCGGUUGUUGGAUGCUGGUUGAUGAUUUAUCGGCCGGAAAAGUUGCGUUGGGUUUCCCGACGAUAGAAGGAACGGCUUUUAGACGGGUCGUCCUUCCUUCCGGCGGCGUAACGGUGCCGGGUUCAAAUUUCGUCCGAUGCGCUUGGACCUGCGCGUGUGUGGUUUUGUUCCUCUCUUCUUCCUCUCGUUCGUCGUAGCUGUGUCAAAUAAAGAGGUGCCGUCUGGCUAUUGCAAACGGGGUCAUUAGCACAUGGGGAGGGUCAAUGGCACUAUAAUUUUGAGCACUAUUACCUUUCUCCUGAAUUCGCACGCACUUUACCACACGCUAGCGUUUGUUACGAACUUACAGACAACUAAUGGAACGGGAGAGACAAGAAAUUUAGACUAAUUCAAAGUACUAUCACGACACUUUACAUACUUGGAAACUAAACCGGACAAAACUACGCGCACUUUCACUAUGUUUGGCGGACUGGGACGAAAUGGACUAGCAGCGUUAAUCCUCAGAUUAGGGAAGGUAAUUUCGUACGAACUUACAGGAAGCGCGUAUUUUCCCGCAAAUUUCUUCGGGCAAGUUCGGAAAUCAACGACCCCACUAGCUGUUUUAUUCUGUCAGCUAACCCUUGGCUCUAUCUGUCCCUUUCCAUCAUGCAUUCCAAGGGAAGGAUCGUCAUGGUUUUCGUCUUCAGGAGAAUCUCAACAGGCAAUUUAAUUUCUUCCCCUCGCGGAGAGGAGUAUUUGCUAGGGUGUUGCGCAAGAGUCGAUCAACGGUAGGUUGUCUAACUCUUGGCGCAAACAAAUCAGACUGGUUCUACUAAAUUUGAAAAAUAUUGCUGAAUAUGACAUGACCGCUACAUAACACCAGGCUUGUUUUACGAAAAUUUGGUAUUAGGAUUAAUACCAAAUUUUCGUAAGGGACAAUUUUACGAAAUGACUAAGACUAACAAUAGAAAAAAAAAAAACUACAACUACUAUUUACAAAAUGUUAUGUACAACUAAUCCUAGGUUCGCCUUGAAUACAGAAAUACUGAUGGAUUUGACAUUUCCCCUGCUGCGCUCCGGUAGUUCAGAUAUAUAACACUCAAAGACUGCAACAAAUCCCAAAUACUGGCAUUGAUACCAAAAUAUUGAAAUUUUAGAUCAAGCCGAAACCCCAACACUACAACAUACACUGAGUUGCUUACGACUCUCAAUGCAACAUAAUUCCCAAUAUAACUUCAUGAAUACUACAAGAAACAGGCUUAUUGAGUUCCAGAACUACUCCAUUCCUUACGUUGGAAAUGUAUCCCUUCACUCAAUUUACCGCACAGUUUUGUCUUUUGAAAGCACCUCAGAGCUCUUCCCUGAAUAAACACUUUCUACUAGACAAAACGCAGAACUGAACUUCAUAAUUUCCUUUGCAGUGACUCGAACGCCGAAAUAAUUCAGCUAGUGAGAAAUCUGCACAUAAUUCUCCUGAAAAUAUCCCCCGAAAUUCCCCCGAAAAUAUCCCCCGAAAAUCCCCCGAAAAUAUCCCCCGAAAUCCCCCGAAAAUAUCACCCAAAAAUAUCCCCCGAAAAUAUCUCCCAAAACAAUCAUUUUGGUUAUGUAUUAAAGCCGGAUGUAUUCCGACAAUACGAACACAUACCCUAAAUGACCACAUAUCCCAUAAAUCCAUCUUACGUUACAUUUCCUACGUCGAAAAAAACUUUCGACAAAACCGAAAUGCAACGAAAAUGAAAAAGUUCCCAACCCUAUUAAAGCUCUCAUAAACUCACGCAUACACUGAACUACCAACCCGCAACGAAGAGAAACGUCAAACUAAAAAAAUAUUGCAAGUGAUGUGUUGUGCUGUGUGUUAAUUGUACAUUUUCCAGGCUGAAACGGACCAACCAAAACAAACCAAAACAAACCCACUCAGAUGAAGGCUGGGAUGUUUCCGCGCGGCACUGGACUGUUCUGGACGGACGGAUUUGGACUCUUGAAGCGGACGACAAAUUGAUGCUGAAUCGAAGGAUGUCGCAUGCAGCUGGACUGGACAUGAAUGUGGACCACGGCACGGGGCCGGAACUAUUUAGCGGGACUGGCGCUGGACGGACUGCUGCCAUGCUGACCCGGAAUUGCCUCAAACGGCCUAUUUGAAGACAGCUAUAACGGAUGCCGAGAAGGGAAGUUGACUUCCAGUUAAAGGUAAGUGUGUGAACAAAUUUUAAUGUUUUCUUUUUCAUUUUAGGAACAAUCGGAUGGCAAAACCCAAGAUGCGAAAUCCACCCCCAAGGAAGACUUCAAUAAGAACCUACAUUUAACAUAAACUCCCACAUUAAACAUUAACCCACUAAAUCCCAAAAUUUUUGCUAAAUAUUGUGAUAAAUAAAUAAACACUUAAAUAAAUAACAAAGAAAUAAAUAACAAUUAACAAAUAACAUGAAUAUAAAGAAAUAUACAAUAAUUUUAAGUACUAACAUAGAUAUAAGGAAACAUUGUGAACUACAAACUAACAUUACUUAUAUCCGAAAAAUAGUAUUUACAAAAUUUUUAUACAUUGGGUGAUCGUGCAAAGGCACAAUCCCCUUUCUUCUUCCACCCACAAGUCUUGUAUAGGUUGUUAACAAGGUAUGUGUAUCCCGAUGCAAUACAACCUGUGUUUUUUUCAAACAUGGUUAAAUUUCCAGGAACACUGCCGAUUUCUUUAAAAUUGCAACGCUAUUCAGCUAAAGCAAUUUGUUACUGACAGCUCGAUUAACUCGGGUUUGCUCAACAUUGUCUGCCGACUUCUGAGUCUUAUUUCACGAUCAACGUUUAAGAUUCCCCAGUCUUAAACUCACGCUUUAUUGCUUCUCGUUUAAUGAUUGCGAUACUCCUCAUCA